rnacentral:rRNA from 1 species
CCGAACCGACUAAUGUUGAAAAAUUAGCGGAUGACCUGUGGCUGGGGGUGAAAGGCCAAUCAAACCGGGAGAUAGCUGGUUCUCCCCGAAAGCUAUUUAGGUAGCGCCUCGUGAAUUCAUCUCCGGGGGUAGAGCACUGUUUCGGCUAGGGGGCCAUCCCGGCUUACCAACCCGAUGCAAACUGCGAAUACCGGAGAAUGUUAUCACGGGAGACACACGGCGGGUGCUAACGUCCGUCGUGAAGAGGGAAACAACCCAGACCGCCAGCUAAGGUCCCAAAGUCAUGGUUAAGUGGGAAACGAUGUGGGAAGGCCCAGACAGCCAGGAUGUUGGCUUAGAAGCAGCCAUCAUUUAAAGAAAGCGUAAUAGCUCACUGGUCGAGUCGGCCUGCGCGGAAGAUGUAACGGGGCUAAACCAUGCACCGAAGCUGCGGCAGCGACACUGUGUGUUGUUGGGUAGGGGAGCGUUCUGUAAGCCUGUGAAGGUGUGUCGUGAGGCAUGCUGGAGGUAUCAGAAGUGCGAAUGCUGACAUAAGUAACGAUAAAGCGGGUGAAAAGCCCGCUCGCCGGAAGACCAAGGGUUCCUGUCCAACGUUAAUCGGGGCAGGGUGAGUCGACCCCUAAGGCGAGGCCGAAAGGCGUAGUCGAUGGGAAACGGGUUAAUAUUCCCGUACUUGGUGUUACUGCGAAGGGGGGACGGAGAAGGCUAUGUUGGCCGGGCGACGGUUGUCCCGGUUUAAGCGUGUAGGUGUGUGUUCCAGGUAAAUCCGGUUCACUUUAACACUGAGGCGUGACGACGAGGCACUACGGUGCUGAAGCAACAAAUGCCCUGCUUCCAGGAAAAGCCUCUAAGCAUCAGGUAACAUCAAAUCGUACCCCAAACCGACACAGGUGGUCAGGUAGAGAAUACCAAGGCGCUUGAGAGAACUCGGGUGAAGGAACUAGGCAAAAUGGUGCCGUAACUUCGGGAGAAGGCACGCUGACACGUAGGUGAAGUGAUUUACUCAUGGAGCUGAAGUCAGUCGAAGAUACCAGCUGGCUGCAACUGUUUAUUAAAAACACAGCACUGUGCAAACACGAAAGUGGACGUAUACGGUGUGACGCCUGCCCGGUGCCGGAAGGUUAAUUGAUGGGGUCAGCGCAAGCGAAGCUCCUGAUCGAAGCCCCGGUAAACGGCGGCCGUAACUAUAACGGUCCUAAGGUAGCGAAAUUCCUUGUCGGGUAAGUUCCGACCUGCACGAAUGGCGUAAUGAUGGCCAGGCUGUCUCCACCCGAGACUCAGUGAAAUUGAACUCGCUGUGAAGAUGCAGUGUACCCGCGGCAAGACGGAAAGACCCCGUGAACCUUUACUAUAGCUUGACACUGAACAUUGAGCCUUGAUGUGUAGGAUAGGUGGGAGGCUUUGAAGUGUGGACGCCAGUCUGCAUGGAGCCGACCUUGAAAUACCACCCUUUAAUGUUUGAUGUUCUAACGUGGACCCGUUACCCGGGUUGCGGACAGUGUCUGGUGGGUAGUUUGACUGGGGCGGUCUCCUCCUAAAGAGUAACGGAGGAGCACGAAGGUUGGCUAAUCCUGGUCGGACAUCAGGAGGUUAGUGCAAUGGCAUAAGCCAGCUUGACUGCGAGCGUGACGGCGCGAGCAGGUGCGAAAGCAGGUCAUAGUGAUCCGGUGGUUCUGAAUGGAAGGGCCAUCGCUCAACGGAUAAAAGGUACUCCGGGGAUAACAGGCUGAUACCGCCCAAGAGUUCAUAUCGACGGCGGUGUUUGGCACCUCGAUGUCGGCUCAUCACAUCCUGGGGCUGAAGUAGGUCCCAAGGGUAUGGCUGUUCGCCAUUUAAAGUGGUACGCGAGCUGGGUUUAGAACGUCGUGAGACAGUUCGGUCCCUAUCUGCCGUGGGCGCUGGAGAACUGAGGGGGGCUGCUCCUAGUACGAGAGGACCGGAGUGGACGCAUCACUGGUGUUCGGGUUGUCAUGCCAAUGGCACUGCCCGGUAGCUAAAUGCGGAAGAGAUAAGUGCUGAAAGCAUCUAAGCACGAAACUUGCCCCGAGAUGAGUUCUCCCUGAGACUUAGAGUCUCCUGAAGGAACGUUGAAGACGACGACGUUGAUAGGCCGGGUGUGUAAGCGCAGCGAUGCGUUGAGCUAACCGGUACUAAUGAACCGUGAGGCUUAACCUU